GCCUCGGUAGCGUAGUGGGUCAAGACGCUCGCCCUGGUAAACAGGAGGGCGUGGGUUCGAUCCCAGCCGAGGCA
rnacentral:tRNA from 1 species